rnacentral:rRNA from 1 species
AGUGCCUAGGGACGCAGCAGUGAGGAAUAUUGGUCAAUGGUCGGGAGACUGAACCAGCCAAGCCGCGUGAGGGAGGAAGGUACAGAGUAUCGUAAACCUCUUUUGUCAGGGAACAAAGGCGGGGACGUGUCCCCGGAUGAGUGUACCUGAAGAAAAAGCAUCGGCUAACUCCGUGCCAGCAGCCGCGGUAAUACGGAGGAUGCGAGCGUUAUCCGGAUUUAUUGGGUUUAAAGGGUGCGCAGGCGGUCUGUUAAGUCAGCGGUCAAAGCCCGGGGCUCAACCCCGGCCCGCCGUUGAAACUGGCA